rnacentral:lncRNA from 1 species
UAUGCUAGAUUAGCUCGACUCGAGUUCAUCUAUAAAUCCUAUGAAAACUUUUUUUAGUAUUCACACUUACUCUGAUCAGAGAUUUUCUUAACUCAGUCUUACAAAUUGCAUAGGACUUCUCCUUUUCUAUCAAGAUCGAUAAAUUUUAUCUAAGUGCAUCCUACUCCAAACAACGAACCUGAAUCUACAAUAGCCAACAUACACAGCA